rnacentral:rRNA from 1 species
CAGCCGUAAACAAUGUGCGUUAGGUGUGUCGGUAACCACGCGUUACUGAUGCGCCGAAGAGAAAUCGUGAAACGCACCACCUGGGAAGUACGGUCGCAAGGCUGAAACUUAAAGGAAUUGGCGGGGGAGCACCACAACAGGUGGAGCCUGCGGUUUAAUUGGAUUCAACACCGUAAAACUCACCAGGGAAGACUGUUACAUGAAAGCCGAGAUGAAGACUCUGCUAGAUUUUCAGAGAGGAGGUGCAUGGCGUCAGUGACU